rnacentral:rRNA from 1 species
UGCCAGCCGCCGCGGUAAUACGGAGGGAGCGAGCGUUAAUCGGAAUUACUGGGCGUAAAGCGCGCGUAGGCGGCUUUGUAAGUCGGAUGUGAAAGCCCUGGGCUCAACCUGGGAAUUGCACUCGAUACUGCAGAGCUAGAGUAUGGUAGAGGGAAGUGGAAUUUCCGGUGUAGCGGUGAAAUGCGUAGAUAUCGGAAGGAACACCAGUGGCGAAGGCGACUUCCUGGGCCAAUACUGACGCUGAGGCGCGAAGGCGUGGGUAGCGAACGGGAUUAGAUA